rnacentral:rRNA from 1 species
CCUACGGGCGGCAGCAGUGAGGAAUAUUGGUCAAUGGACGCAAGUCUGAACCAGCCAUGCCGCGUGCAGGAAGACGGCUCUAUGAGUUGUAAACUGCUUUUGUACGAGGGUAAACGCAGAUACGUGUAUCUGUUUGAAAGUAUCGUACGAAUAAGGAUCGGCUAACUCCGUGCCAGCAGCCGCGGUAAUACGGAGGAUCCAAGCGUUAUCCGGAUUUAUUGGGUUUAAAGGGUGCGUAGGCGGUCGUAUAAGUUAGAGGUGAAAUACCGAGGCUCAACAUCGGAAUUGCCGCUGAUACUGUUGGGCUAGAGAGUGGUUGCGGUAGGCGGAAUGUGUGGUGUAGCGGUGAAAUGCAUAGAGAUCACACAGAACACCGAUUGCGAAGGCAGCUUACUAGGCUAGUUCUGACGCUGAGGCACGAAAGCGUGGGGAGCGAACAGGAUUAGAUACCCGUGUAGUC